UGCGCAGGCGGCCUGAUAAGUCAGAGGUGAAAUAUGUCGGCUCAACCGACAAACGGCCCCUGAAACUGUCAGGCUUGAGUCCGGGAGAGGUUGGUGGAAUUCCAGGUGUAGCGGUGAAAUGCGUAAAUAUCUGGAGGAACACCGGUGGCGAAGGCGGCCAACUGGCCCGGUACUGACGCUCAGGCACGAAAGCUAGGGGAGCGAACAGGAUUAGUUACCCUGGUAGUCC
rnacentral:rRNA from 1 species